CAGAUUCGUUCAUCCUCUACCCUUCAGACUCAUUCUCUCCUCUUUCGCUGAAACGCAACGGCGUCGAUCGAUCCUUCUCCUCCGAUUAAAUAGAAUCUAAACGCCACCGUGAAUCCUUCUAAUCACCGUCACAACCUCCUCUUCUAAUUCUUAAUCCUAAUUUCUCCGUUCAAAAUUCAAUGAAUACCUAAUCGAAGCGUUUAGAAGAACCCUAGGAAUUAAACGUCUCAAACUCCUAAUUUCAACAUCACAUGAUUCAGCGCACGCAGAAUGAUGGAGAUUUGGAGACAUACCUGAAAUGACGAUCGAUUGCUGAGAGUGGAGAGAACCGGAGAAGAGAUUUCGAGCGAUGGGAUGCCAAAACAGAGAUGAGCGCGAGCAAAUGGAAGAAACUCCAGAUAAUGAAGGUUGAAAGCUGCGUGUGAACGGUGACGAUGAUGAAGAAAUCGUGAAGCGAAUUGUGGAGUUCAGAGAUGAUGAUGGUGAAUGAAUCGGGGAGAUUAUCUGAGGUUUAGCUCAACUACUUAGAGCUUCAGAGGUUGAAGCUCCAAGAGUCAUGGUGGAGAGCGUGUAGUAUAAGUUGAGAGGUGAUGAAGGUGGUGGAAGAUGAAGAUUGUGAAAUGGUGAAGAAAAUGGUCCCCCCGAGCUGAAACUGAGGGAGAAGGUGGUUUAAAUAGGUGAGUUGAGAAUUCAGUUGAGGGAGGAGUGAUUAGAACCCUUGGAUCUGAAGUUGGUUAUGAGGAUGAAAGGUGAGGAUUAAGUCACUUAUUGUUAGCUCCAAAUUCUGUUUUUUCGGUUAUAGGUUUGUUAGAGGUAGUUACAAACUCUGUUAGGUGGUUAGAAUCAGUUAGGGGUUAGGAAAAGUUAGUUUGGGUUCUGUUAUAGCUGUUUGAAAGUUACCAAGGGGUUUUGACAGUUAGUUAUGAAUAGGUAGUUGAAUUGGUUAGGAUAAAACUGUUAGUUAGUCAGUUAUAAAAAACAGUUAGGGUGAAAUGACUGUUAACACACUGAUGAAGCAGCUAGGUUAGUAAACCAAACUGUUAGUUAGACAAUUUUCCUGAAUGUGAGAUAUGAGAUUCUGUACAGAGCUUGUGAGGGUAUGCACUGAUUAUUAAUCGUGAACUGGCAGCAUCAAGUUUGGAAUUGUAGCUCGGGCUUUGAAGACGGUAUGAUGGAGCGGCAAGUUCGUGUGGCCUGUACGAACAGUGAGGCUUGGAUCGGUGUUCAAAUUAGCUUCGAAAAGGUUUGGAUGAAAAUCUUAUGGCAGCUAGGUUAUAUUCAAAUGGUGCUGGUUGUUUGAAGAUGGUAUUUUCUCGCGUUAGUAGCGCUCUGUUAUGAUUGGUACUCGAUGAGAGCCUGAAGACACAAUUAUUGGGUUGUUGCGGUUCUGCUUGGGGCAGUUGAUGUACCAGGUGCAGUGAGCCAAGUUUUGGUUUAUUACUUUGAAGACAUAUGGAGAAGGUUGGAAGGGAUAUGGCUUGGAGCUUAAGCAAAGACAUGUACUAAUCAAAGGAGGCCAACACAAAAUAGAUGGGAGAACUAGGAAUAAUAGGCUAAGAAGAAAUUUUGUAUAGUUGAGAUAUCGAAACUUGUAAAUGAACUUCUUAUUUGUGUUUGAAUUUGGACUUUUGGUAUGGCCAUGAACUUGAAUAAUGCUAGUUUUUUUUUGUAAAUUUUGUUGUAAUGUAUUUGCAAUGAGAGGUAAUGGAUAUGUAAUGACUUUUGAUGAUUGAAUUUGAGUAAUAUGAUUUUUUAUAUGGA